rnacentral:tRNA from 1 species
GCUGGUGGUGGCGCGUGGUGUGUCGCGGACGAAACUGGCGCUUUCAUCGUCGGGGUUGUCGUUCCAUGCGACCAGCCAGUU